rnacentral:rRNA from 1 species
AUUGAACGCUGGCGGCAGGCCUAACACAUGCAAGUCGAACGAGUGGCGGACGGGUGAGUAAUGUUUGGGAAACUGCCUGAUGGAGGGGGAUAACGACUGGAAACUGUCGCUAAUACCGCAUACCAUCGGAUGUGCCCAGGUGGGAUUAGGUAGUUGGUGGGGUAAUGGCUCACCAAGGCGACGAUCCCUAGCUGGUCUGAGAGGCUGACCAGCCACACCGGAACUGAGACACGGCCCAGACUCCUACGGGAGGCAGCAGUGGGGAAUAUUGCACAAUGGGCGCAAGCCUGAUGCAGCCAUGCCGCGUGUAUGAAGAAGGCCUUCGGGUUGUAAAGUACUUUCAGUGGGGAGGCGUUACCCGCAGAAGAAGCACCGGCUAACUCCGUGCCAGCAGCCGCGGUAAUAC